AUACGUAGGGGGCGAGCGUUGUCCGGAAUGAUUGGGCGUAAAGGGCGCGUAGGCGGCGCGGUAAGUCUGGAGUGAAAGUCCUGCUUUCAAGAUGGGAAUUGCUUUGGAUACUGUCGGGCUUGAGUGCAGGAGAGGUAAGUGGAAUUCCCAGUGUAGCGGUGAAAUGCGUAGAGAUUGGGAGGAACACCAGUGGCGAAGGCGACUUACUGGACUGUAACUGACGCUGAGGCGCGAAAGUGUGGGGAGCAAACAGGAUUAGAUACCCUGGUAGUCCACACUGUAAACGAUGAAUGCUAGGUGUAGGGGGUAUCGACCCCUUCUGUGCCGCAGUCAACACAAUAAGCAUUCCGCCUGGGGAGUACGGCCGCAAGGUUGAAACUCAAAGGAAUUGACGGGG
rnacentral:rRNA from 1 species